rnacentral:rRNA from 1 species
AUGAGGUAGCCAACACUGUUUAUAUAUAUAUAUAUACACACACACAUAUAUACAUAUAUAUAUAUAUAUAUAUAAAUAUAUAUAUAUAUAUAUCUUUUAAUUGGGGUAGCCCCCAAAAUAUUGGGACAUAUAAAAAAGACAACUCUGUUCCGCAGAGUAGCUGUUGAUAUUAUAGUUGCGCAGGAACUUUGUUGACUUUAGAGAACCCGGGCAAAUCGCACAUCCCAGUUGGCGGCAAAUUUGCAUGUGGAUGUCAUCCAUAUCAUCUUUCGAUGCCAGUUUCUGCGCCUACCAUGGUGACCACGGGUAAUGGGGAAUCAGGGUUCCAUUCCGUACAGGGACCCUGAGAAACAGCUACCACAUGCAAGAAAGGCAGCAGGCGAGCAAAUGACCCACUCCCGACGUGGGAAGGUAGUGACGACAAAUAACAAUACAGGACUCUUUAGAGCCCUGUAAUUUUAAUGAGUCCACUUGAAAUCCUUUAACUCUGAUCAAUUGGAUGGAAGUCUGGUGCAGAGCCACU